AUACGGAGGAUCCGAGCGUUAUCCGGUUUUAUUGGGUUUAAAGGGAGCGUAGGUGGACAGUUAAGUCAGUUGUGAAAGUUUGCGGCUCAACCGUAAAAUUGCAGUUGAUACUGGCUGUCUUGAGUACAGUAGAGGUGGGCGGAAUUCGUGGUGUAGCGGUGAAAUGCUUAGAUAUCACGAAGAACUCCGAUUGCGAAGGCAGCUCACUGGACUGCAACUGACACUGAUGCUCGAAAGUGUGGGUAUCAAACAGGAUUAGAUACCCUGGUAGUCCACACAGUAAACGAUGAAUACUCGCUGUUUGCGAUAUACAGUAAGCGGCCAAGCGAAAGCAUUAAGUAUUCCACCUGGGGAGUACGCCGGCAACGGUGAAACUCAAAGGAAUUGACGGGG
rnacentral:rRNA from 1 species